rnacentral:piRNA from 1 species
GGGGUGUUUAAGGCCAUGCGUUCGUGGCAGC